UGGGGAAUAUUGCACAAUGGAGGGAACUCUGAUGCAGCGACGCCGCGUGAGUGAUGAAGGAUUUCGUUUCGUAAAACUUUGUUCUAUGGGAAGAAAAGGACUGUACCAUAGGAGAAAGCUCCGGCUAAAUACGUGCCAGCAGCCGCGGUAAUACGUAUGGAGCGAGCGUUGUCCGGAAUUAUUGGGCGUAAAGGGUGCGCAGGCGGCUUUACAAGUUGGAUGUGAAAUAUUGUGGCUCAACCACAAACGUGCAUCCAAAACUGCAAAGCUUGAGUUAAGGAGAGGUGAGUGGAAUUCCUGCUGUGGCGGUGGAAUGCGUAGAUAUCAGGAGGAAUACCAGUGGCGAAGGCGACUUACUGGACUUAAACUGACGCUCAGGCACAAAAAAGUGAGGAGCGAGCAGG
rnacentral:rRNA from 1 species